GGCCCCUCGGGACUCUACGGGAGGCAGCAGUGGGGAAUAUUGCACAAUGGGCGCAAGCCUGAUGCAGCCAUGCCGCGUGUAUGAAGAAGGCUUCGGGUUGUAAAGUACUUUCAGCGAGGAGGAAGGCAUCAAGGUUAAUAACCUUGGUGAUUGACGUUACUCGCAGAAGAAGCACCGGCUA
rnacentral:rRNA from 1 species